rnacentral:tRNA from 1 species
GCCGUGGCCUACUGGUUAGCGCUUCGGACUAGUAAGCGGAGGGUUGCCGGUUCGAACCCCGACCAGUAGGCA